AAAAAAAAAGAUGAAUGCAUAAUUGACCAUUCUCUUCACUCCUUUCUUUCUACAUGUAAAAUGUAGAUUCACUGAGUGCUAAUCAGAGUCUCACAAGAAUGUAACCACUUACCUCAUUGCCUACCCAGUCUCCCUUUAUUUUUUUCUUCUCUCCUUCCCAUCCUGCUCACUCUUUCCCUUUUAAAUAUUAAAGUUCUCAAAAUCCUAUCUGAAAAAAGCAUAGGGUGCAGAUCCUACUGGGACUUGUGCUUCUUUUUCCCAGGUGUCUCCUCAACUUCGUCAAAUUAAACCUUUAAAUUCAGAUAUACCUUAGUCAACUUUUGGUUUACAUUUUUGUAGUCACAGAGGGAUUCUUUAAAUGGGGUUUGGCUCUUGGCCUGCAGCAACCCUCCUAUUGGGGCUGGUACCAGCAGAAGCUCUUAAUUACUCUGACUGAUUGGAUGACUUGCUGAGGACUAGUAGCAUCCCCUUCCAGAGAUCCUUAAUCUCUGUAUUUUGGCUGAGAUCUUAGGUUUAUUCUGCCACAGAACUCAUUUUCAGGGAGUUUCCUGCUUCUGCGAAGGGGAGAGCAAAUCGUCAACAUAGGCUCUAUUCUCUGGGUAAGGAGCUUGUUUGGGGUUUUGUUUUGUGAUUUGGUAGCUUAAGAUAAAGGUUUAUUGUUAGUUUUCUACAACUUUUCCUCACACUCCAAGAUCUCAACUAUAUGUAAAUUGUGCUAUCACUUUUUUUCUUUUCUUUUUUUUUGUUUGUUUGUUCCAGUUCAUCUUCCAUUAUAUUUGACCAAUUUUGGUUCAUCUUCUAUUAGAUUUGACUGAAACCCCUGCAGCUGCAAAAAGUCUAAUUCCAGGGGAGAAGAGGAGAGUAAAAGUGAAGAAGAAAGAGGCAAAACAAGUGACUAGACCACACGCUGAACAAGUUGUAGCUCUCAUUUACUUUUCAGAGAAUGUAAAAUGUUACAACUGCUUUGGAUAACAGUUUGGCAAUUUCUUUAAAAGUUAAGCAUAUAUAUAUAUAUAUAUAUAUAUAUAUAAUCAUAUAAUCUAGCCAUUUCACACAUCAGAAUUUACCCUCAUCCCCAAAUAAAAGCACAAAGAUGUGAAUGCCCAUAGCAGCUGCAUGUGUAAUAACUCAAAACUAUAAAAAACUCAAACACUCAUCAACAGUGAAUAAUUAAACAAAUUGUUUACAUUGCAAAAACAUUAUCAGUUGAAAGGAAUGAGCUACUGGUAGCAGCAACAAGGUACACAAAUCUAGAAAUAAUUAUGCUGAGGAAGAGAAGCCAGAAAAAUAUAAUAUAUAUUAUAUUAUCUCAUAUAUAUUAAAGAAUAGAGAAUGCAAACUAAUCUAUAGUGACAGAAAACAAAUCAGUGGCAAUCUGGGAAUGAGGGUAAGGGGUAAGAGGAAGGGAUUAAAAUGGGGCAUGAGUAAAAUUUUGGAAGUGAUAAGUAUAUUUAUUAUCUUGACUGGUUAUGGUUUUACAGAUACAUACUUAACGGUGAAAACUGGCAGAUUGUACAUUUUAAUAUGCAUAGUUUAUGAAAUGUCAAUUAUAUCUCAAUAAAUAUUAAGAUUAUAUAAGAAUAAUCUAGAGAAAUAAAACAUUUUUAAAAAAAUUAUAGUAAGAGUUGUUCUCUAACCAUUGUAGUUAAUCAGUUUUACUAAAGAAUAACCACAUAUAAAACCUUGUUCCCUUAUUUACAGAAAGUUUCUCCCGUACAGUUUGUACACUGUCUAUUCAUGUGAGCUAAUGCUUUAAAAAUUAACAUAUUAAUUUUCCUAUAUUAUAUGAACCUAGUGUUUUAUCCCAAUAAAUUAAUCAUCACAUUUUCUUUAUAGGUGUUUUUUUGUGGAAAAAAUUUAAUCAACCCAUAUCAUUUUUGUGUGCGAUCUUUCCUUAGUGAACAUUAAAUCUAAUCAUUUGUUAUUUGCAUUUGAAGUAAUUAUUUUAACAUGGGCUCUUUCCUAAGCACUUUGAAAAUUAGUCCUCUAAAGCCUUUUGUUGUAUAUAACUUUCUCUCUUGUGUUUUGUAUAAUUAUUAUUAUAUAGUAGUAUAAUUUAAAGGGGAAAUGUGCAAUAAACCCAUAUGCUUUAUUAUUAAAAGUAGGUACUGUAAGUUUUACUCCUAUGCCAAUUGGAUGGAAGAUCAAGAGUUGUGAUGAUCGGGAGGCUGAGGCAGGAGAAUGGCAUGAACCAGGGGGGCAGAGCUUGCGGUGAGCCGAGAUCGCACCACUGCACUCCAGCCUGGGUGACAGAGCGAGACUGUGUCUCAAAAAAUUAAAAAAUAAUAAUAAAAUAAAAUAAUAAAAAAAGAGUUGUGAUGAUCAUUUUCAGUUUUUAGUUUAACUGAAGAUAACAGAAACAGUCCAGAAUGGUCAAACUUUGACAUUUAUUAAAACAUUUAGAGACACUAAAACAUACAAACAAUUUUUGGUGGUUAAGACCAUGUGCUCUGGAAUAAGAAAUUGGUAUUUAAAUUCUUUCUAUUUACUGUUACAUUUAAGGCUUUGUUUAAAUGUUUAUGUGUAAAAAGAUCAAAAGCACUUUCAUAUAUUUCUUUAAAUAAUGUAUGCCAUUCAAUUUUUGCCGAAAGAGAUAAUAAAUCAGAGCAGACAAUGAAGA
rnacentral:lncRNA from 10 species